CUCAUUUUCAAAGUGACAUUAUUUUAAAGUUACCUUGACCGAUUUUCUUGCUUUUGAUUGCUAUAGAGUCACAUACAAUUUGGCCAACAGAGCUGCAACCCUGAGCAGAAGCUGUAUGCAUAGUUUGGACCAAUAUAUUUAUGAAAUAAAGCAAAGGAGUGCAAUUCAUUGGAUGAAAAGAUAAGAAAUAUUGAAUUGUAAUAAUCCUGUUGGGAACAUUUGACUGUUGGCACAGUCAGCCUUUCUACAGGAACUACUACCCGUCUUUUUACAGGAGCAUUUGACUGUAUCCUGCUUUCUACAGAAACAUUUGACUGUAUCCUGCCUUUCUACAGAAACAUUUGAUUGUGCCAACAGGAAUUCAAAGUUUACGACACGCACGUGCUUGUGGGUGAAAAUUCGGAAAAUACUUUUUUCUCAAAUAUUUUGUAAUUUUGUGUUAUUAAUUGCAAUGUAUUAUUUUAAUUUGAAUACAUUUGGCUCUGUAAAUUUUAUAUCAAUUUUCAUGGCAAAAAAAUAUGUGCAACCAGCUGAUUUUGCUCGGAUUCUCAAGAAUUAUCUGACGAAGAAAAGGAAACCUUUGGAUGGGAGAACAAUAGCGAUUUCCAUUCCUUAUUUUUUGUUUAUUUCUACUUUUUAGAAAUAAAUAAAAAUAUUAAAGUUAGUUUAAACUAA